ensembl:lincRNA
UAUUCACCCUUUUGUUAACCUUUUAAAUUAUUUAGUACAUAUUCCCAGAAAUGCCCGAAUUCACUUGGAUAAUGAACAGUCCACAGAAUUCUGUAGGGAUACAAAUAAAAUAACCACUUUUCAUGACCAGCUGCUUUCCCGUGCUCUCUGCCAGGCCCCCUUCCACGCAUCUGCUCGCAUCUCCAGGGACUCAGCGCUUCCUCUCACUCCUUCGGAGGCAAAGAAGACAAGAAAACUGAGGGGAAGGAUAUUUGGAAGAAUUCAGAAACUGACCCAAAACAAAGCAACAUGCACGGAGGAGUGGAGUCCGUCUGCCGGAGCACUGCUAACAACUGCCAAGGCAAGCAUAAUGCAAUCACGAGAUUCUGCUGCCAUUGAAGAAGUCAUUCCUUUAGAACACCAGUGAAGACAGAAAAGCCCAAGACACAUUCCUCCUGAAACACGUGCAAACACUCACUGUGGAAGGUCAUGGCAUUCUCUUAAGAAUAGCUCAGGGAGAGCCCAGAAGAGAGGAAAAUAGAACUAGAGACUAACAUUUGGUCAUACAGAUAAGCACACCUCACCAAUACUAUGAGGCCAGCGUCCAGUAUAUUAGAAAGACGAAGAAUUUUCAGUUGGGAAAUUCUGUAAGACCUAUGAAUUUGUUAAAGUCUACUUGUAGACAGUGGUCCAUAUACAAAUAAAACCCUUUUAAACUAACAUUUCCUGGGACUUUAUGCUGCAUUUGCCUUUGUUUUGUUUUGACCAAUAAAACUCAGAGAAGAAUAACAUUUCUGUUAUUCCUGUUACUUCCAGCAGGGGGGAAAGAAAACAUUUAAUCUUGAGUAUGAAUGAGUGGAAUUCUAGGGUCUGCUGACUAGAAUGGCUUAUAAAUCUUAGAGAGUAACCAGGCCUUUAAGACAGAUGAUUUGAGGAAAAGGGUAAUUUGACCAGCUGAAGUAGGGAUAUAAUCGCAUUCAGAAGACCAAAUGUAAAAGGGGCAGAGGCGUUAGCAUGAGCAAUGGAGGUACAGGGUAAGAGUGAAUGAGGUUUAAAUUGUAUGAGACGGGAGAGAAAUGGUAGCAAAGUGUGCAGAGAAGAGAAGAGAAGAGAGCUAGUCCACAAGUGUUGGUGUCGCCACGCCUCACUGAGGAGUCUUCACAGUCUUCUUUAGGAAGCUGGGGGUCCCGUGAACAGCCAGACACUUAACUUUUCUCUUUGUCACGCCAGGGGUAUGCAUUAGAAGAGCGGAUGAUGACCAAGGAACACGGUUAAUCGUCCCGACCCAAAGGGCUUGAACUCCGGUAUUAGAGAUAGAACAAAAGAGGGAAGAGAGAGCAGAGGCCUGGAGAAGAGUCGACAGAUAGUACUGCAAAGCCUGGACGGGGCAGAGAGAAGAAAGGCCAAGGCCGGUGUGAGGUUUAUCAUUCGGAGAGUGAGGCUGAUGCUUACGGCAUAAAGGAAGAAACGGAAGGGAGGAGAAUGUACCAAUUUGGGGUUUUCCAUGAGAAGCUGCAGCUUAGAAAACACAAAAUGGAGAAUUUCUAAGUAAAGAUGAACUUAGGAAAAACACGUAUUUUUACACAGGUGUCUGAGCCUGUGUUUAAUGAACAUGUUGCCUAGGUGAUGUGUGGCUCCCAUUUGUAAUCCCAGCACUUGGGGGACUGAGUGAAGGGUUAUGAGUGAGUUCAAGGCCUGCCUGGCCUAUAUAAUGAGACCUUGUCUCAAAAUAAAAAAGUUUCCUCAAUAAAAUGUUGUAACAUAACAGAUCUUUAUGUACAUAAACAAGUCUGCCCAAACAACACAUAAAAGGAAAUCUUUGUCUUCUAAUUUCAAAUAUGGGGAAGAAUCAAGUGAUCAGUACGCUCUGUCUCCAAAACACAAAGCCAAAUUUGUUGCUUGCUUAAAAGAAAAGAGAGCUAUGGCCGGUCAGGCAUGGACUCACUGACCAACGGUCACACAGGGGCUUGCGGCAGAACUUGUUCUGGGUUAUGGAGGUGACAGAGGCAGGAGCAGGUUGCCAUACUCCUAGGAGCAGCGUUCGGUGUAGGUGACUGGUGGGGUGACCUCAGCCUUAACUGCAUGCUAUUCUGUAUCCCCCAGUGUCCAAUGCUGACUUGGAAAUGCUGGGCUUCCCCUGACUGUGUGGUUUCCAGCACUGUAUUCACUACUCCCCCAAAUUGUCACUAAUUGAUUAAGUUUAAAACCAGCCCUGGUGUUUACCUGUUACCAAAAUCUUUGAUUAAAAACUGGUAAAACUAGCUUCUCAUCAUUACUGUUUAGCAGAGUUGCAGAACCUCGAGGCUUUUCCCAGGAGCAUGGGAAUUACAUUUUACUUUAUUCUCAAUAAUUAUGAGACCAAUGCAGUAAUUACCUAGCAUGUUAUUUCACUGCCUUGCUGAUAUGUGCAUCUUGUUUUAAAAGGUGUUUCCAUUGUUUAACUCCUAUAAUAGUAAACAAACAAGCAAAGAUUUCCAAACUUGUCAAAUGCUUUGGAUUUGUGUGUUCUCACCAA